rnacentral:rRNA from 1 species
UGCGUAGGCGGAAGAAUAAGUCAGUGGUGAAAUCCUGCAGCUCAACUGUAGAACUGCCAUUGAAACUAUUUUUCUUGAGUAUAGUCGAGGUGGGCGGAAUGUGUCAUGUAGCGGUGAAAUGCUUAGAUAUGACACAGAACACCGAUUGCGUAGGCAGCUCACUAAACUAUCACUGACGCUGAGGCACGAAAGCGUGGGGAGCGAACAGGAUUAGAUACCCUGGUAGUCC